rnacentral:rRNA from 1 species
GACGAACGCUGGCGGCGUGCCUAAUACAUGCAAGUCGAACGAACACCCACUUGAACUUUUCCCUUUCAAUGUUCGUGUCGCACGGGUGAGUAACAAACGGAGAACCCACCCUUAACGGGGGGAAUACCAUUGGAAACCAUGCCUAAUUCCCCAUAACACCCCACAUCAGAAACACAAUGAAGGACGGACUGCUCCGGCUGUCAUUCAAGGAUGGCUGAGUGGUUCGUUAGCGAGCUGGUGGGGCACAGGCCUACCAUGGCAACGAUGCAUAGCCGACCUGAGAGGAUGAUCGGCCACAUUGGAACUGAGACACGGUCCAAACUCCUACGGGAGGCAGCAGUAGGGAAUAUGCGGCAAUGGAGGCAAGUCUGACGUAGCAAUGCCGCGUGUGUGAAGAAGGUCUUCGGGUCGUAAAGCACUGUUGUUAGGGAAGAACGACAGCAAGAGUAAAUGUUACCGGACUGACGGUAGCUAACCAAAAAGCAACGGCUAACUACGUG